UUGCGGUUAAAAAGCUCGUAGUUGGAUCUCGGCGGGCAGGGGGUGGUUCGCUCUUCAGCGCUACUGCCCCGCUUUGCCCGUGUGACUGGCGGAGGUUUCGGGGUGCUCUUCGUUGAGUGACUCGGAGCGCCGUCAGGUUUACUUUGAAAAAAUUAGAGUGCUCAAAGCAGGCUUUUCACGCUUGAAUAUUCGUGCAUGGAAUAAUGGAAUAGGAACUCGUUUCUAUUUUGUUGGUUUUCGGAAAUCGAGUUAAUGAUUAACAGGGACAAUUGGGGGCAUUAGUAUUCAGACGACAGAGGUGAAAUUCUUGGACCGUCUGAAGACUGACUACUGCGAAAGCAUUUGCCAAGAGUGUUCUCAUUAAUCAAGAACGAAAGUUAGAGGAUCGAAGACGAUCAGAUACCGUCCUAGUUCUAACCAUAAACGAUGUCGACUAGGGAUCAGCGGGCGUUAUCGUACGACCCCGUUGGCACCUUACGGGAAACCAAAGUUUCUGGAUUCCGGGGGAAGUAUAGUCGCAAGGCCGAAACCUUAAAGGAAUUGACGGAAGGCACCA
rnacentral:rRNA from 1 species